UCUCCUAUAGCUCAGUGGUAGAGCACUGGUCUCGUAAACCAGGGGUCGGGAGUUCAAUCCUCACAGGAGGU
rfam:Ciona savignyi cont_56724, whole genome shotgun sequence.